UACAGGGGGUGCAAACGUUGCUCGGAAUUAUUGGGCGUAAAGCGCGCGUAGGUGGCUACUUAAGUCGGAUGUGAAAGCCCCUGGCUCAACUGGGGAAGUGCACCCGAAACUGAAUGGCUUGAGUGCGAAAGAGGGUCGCGGAAUUCCCGGUGUAGAGGUGAAAUUCGUAGAUAUCGGGAGGAACACUGGUGGCGAAGGCGGCGACCUGGGUCGACACUGACGCUGAGGCGCGAAAGCGUGGGGAGCAAACAGG
rnacentral:rRNA from 1 species